rnacentral:rRNA from 1 species
UGCCAGACUCCUACGGGAGGCAGCAGUGGGGAAUAUUGCACAAUGGGGGAAACCCUGAUGCAGCGACGCCGCGUGAGCGAUGAAGUAUUUCGGUAUGUAAAGCUCUAUCAGCAGGGAAGAAGAUGACGGUACCUGACUAAGAAGCCCCGGCUAACUACGCGCCAGCAGCCGCGGUAAUACGUAGGGGGCAAGCGUUAUCCGGAUUUACUGGGUGUAAAGGGAGCGUAGACGGCGAUGCAAGCCAGAUGUGAAAGCCCGGGGCUCAACCCCGGGACUGCAUUUGGAACUGUGUGGCUGGAGUGUCGGAGAGGCAGGCGGAAUUCCUAGUGUAGCGGUGAAAUGCGUAGAUAUUAGGAGGAACACCAGUGGCGAAGGCGGCCUGCUGGACGAUGACUGACGUUGAGGCUCGAAAGCGUGGGGAGCAAACAGGAUUAGAUACCCGAGUAC